ensembl:scaRNA SCARNA8 small Cajal body-specific RNA 8
UGGGGGUGCUCUGACCGUUGCUAGCUCUCCCUAUAGCAUACCUGCUCUCUGAUGACCGGGGCGAGUUGCGUGAAAUCGCAACGGAGAGAUACGGAGCAGACAAUC